rnacentral:pre_miRNA from 1 species
UUAAAAAAAUUCGAAGACUUCAACUUUCAUACUUGAAGAAUUUGAAGGCUUCAACUUGCAUAUUUAAAGAAUUUAAAUACUUCAACC